rnacentral:rRNA from 1 species
AUUGAACGCUGGCGGCAUGCCUUACACAUGCAAGUCGAACGGCAGCACGGGAGCAAUCCUGGUGGCGAGUGGCGAACGGGUGAGUAAUAUAUCGAAACGUGCCCAGUAGUGGGGAUAACUGCUCGAAAGAGCAGCUAAUACCGCAUACGACCUGAGGGUGAAAGGGGGGGAUCGCAAGACCUCUCGCUAUUGGAGCGGCCGAUAUCAGAUUAGCUAGUUGGUGAGGUAAUGGCUCACCAAGGCGACGAUCCCUAGCUGGUCUGAGAGGAUGAUCAGCCACACUGGAACUGAGACACGGCCCAGACUCCUACGGGAGGCAGCAGUGGGGAAUCUUGCGCAAUGGGCGAAAGCCUGACGCAGCCAUGCCGCGUGAAUGAUGAAGGUCUUAGGAUUGUAAAAUUCUUUCACCGGGGACGAUAAUGACGGUACCCGGAGAAGAAGCCCCGGCUAACUUCGUGCCAGCAGCCGCGGUAAU